AUUGAACGCUGGCGGCACGCCUAACACAUGCAAGUCGAGCGGCAGCGCGAUAUGUAGCAAUACAUAUUGGCGGCGAGCGGCGGACGGGUGAGGAACACGUAGGAACCUACCCUCGAGUGGGGGAUAACCAAGGGAAACUUUGGCUAAUACCGCAUGAUUUCGAGAGAGCAGAGCUGCCGCAAGGUGGCGCUCGAGGAGGGGCCUGCGUCCGAUUAGCUAGUUGGUGAGGUAAGAGCUCACCAAGGCGAUGAUCGGUAACUGGUCUGAGAGGACGACCAGUCACACUGGGACUGAGACACGGCCCAGACUCCUACGGGAGGCAGCAGUGGGGAAUAUUGGACAAUGGGGGCAACCCUGAUCCAGCGAUGCCGCGUGAGUGAAGAAGGCCUUCGGGUCGUAAAGCUCUUUAGGUUGGGAAGAAGAGUGAUGGAGGAAAUGCUAUCACUUUGACGGUACCGACAGAAUAAGCACCGGCAAACUCUGUGCCAGCCGCCGCGGUAAAAC
rnacentral:rRNA from 1 species